rnacentral:rRNA from 1 species
GAUGAACGCUGGCGGCGUGCUUAACACAUGCAAGUCGAACGAAGCACUUUAUUUGAUUUCCUUCGGGACUGAUUAUUUUGUGACUGAGUGGCGGACGGGUGAGUAACGCGUGGGUAACCUGCCUUGUACAGGGGGAUAACAGUUGGAAACGGCUGCUAAUACCGCAUAAGCGCACGGCAUCGCAUGAUGCAGUGUGAAAAACUCCGGUGGUAUAAGAUGGACCCGCGUUGGAUUAGCUAGUUGGUGAGGUAACGGCCCACCAAGGCGACGAUCCAUAGCCGACCUGAGAGGGUGACCGGCCACAUUGGGACUGAGACACGGCCCAAACUCCUACGGGAGGCAGCAGUGGGGAAUAUUGCACAAUGGGCGAAAGCCUGAUGCAGCGACGCCGCGUGAGCGAAGAAGUAUUUCGGUAUGUAAAGCUCUAUCAGCAGGGAAGAUAAUGACGGUACCUGACUAAGAAGCACCGG